ensembl:lncRNA
AAAAAAUGGCUGCAAAACUGCUGCUGAGAGUGAGGAGCGAAAGAUGUGAGAGAACAGCCCUACAGGCACCAGUGUCAGCGCAGAAGGAGGGCAGGAGGAACUCCAGGCACAGCAGCAGCUUCCUGCAGCCCAGGAACGGCCCACAAAGGAGUAGGCUGUCCCUCUGCAGCCCCUGAGUACCUUGCGGAGCAGAUCUCCCCGUGAAGCUACGGAGGAGCCGGCGGGGCAGCCAUGAAUGAGGCCUGAAGGAGGCACAGCCCUGGGUACCCCCGCGGGAGCGGCCCGGGCCGGAGCUGCCGCCCGUGAGGACCGGUGUAGAGCAGUGCCUGAAAGGUGGGCACCGUGGUACGGAGCCCUGUUGGAGCAGUGCUGGGAGAGCUGCAGUCUGUGGGAAACCCACGCAGGAUCAGUUCAGGAAGGACGGCACGCUGUGGGAGGGAUCCACGUGGAGAGGAGGCAGAGAGAGACCAUGGAGGAGCAGCAGAGACCAAGUGUUACAGACUGACCACUGCCACAUUCCUCAUUACCCUGCGCCACUUGUAGGAAUGAGGUGGGGAUGUCUUUGCAGUGCCACACCUGCAGAGAAUGGGAGGGAGUGAAGGCACUCAGUGGCAUGUGAUACUUACCUAAUAAGACUAUGUGAAACACUAAAGUCUUGAAGAUUCAGGUCGGUACUCCAGAAGUGAAUUUUAUCUUUUAUCGUGCUUUCAUAUAAUUAGAAAAUUUCUGCUGCCUUCUCAUAACCUACAGGACAAGACAGAAUCUAAGUCUUCAGUGAUUUCUGUAUUUGUCAGCCAGAAGAAAACUCUUGUAAGAGUACUACCAUAAUAACAGCACUGAGACUCACAUGACUAUAAAGAAGGCAGGAUCCAGUUCAAGUUUGGAACAUCCCACAAUGUCCAAAGGUGGAUUUGGCGAUAUAGUAGUAGAGGCUGAAUCUUCC